rfam:Canis lupus familiaris chromosome 4, whole genome shotgun sequence.
CUGCUCACUUCGGCAGCACAUGUACUAAAAUUGGAACAAUACAGAGAUUAGCAAGGCCCCUGAGCAAGAAUGGCAUAUAAAACUCUUUGGUUCAACUAAUACCA